AUUUUCUGUUAAAUAAUUAAAUAUAAGUUAAGGAAAAAAAAAUAAAAUUUAUUAUAAGAAUAAAUUUAUUAAAUCUUAAAUUAUAAGUAGUUUAAGAAUCAAAUCUUAUAUAAUUAUUUGCGUCCUCUUGUUCACAAUGAUUACAUGAUGCACAAGACACUCAGUUUCAUUAAAAGUAUGCUUAGGAUACAUUUCAAGUGUGAUCAGCUCUUUAAUCAUCCCAUCUACUCUAUCUUUCUACUAAGUAGUUAAGGUUCUACGACUACACACCAGUUGCACCAUUUUUUUUUGGAAAAAAAGGAAGUAAAAAUAAGAUCCUAUUGAACAAAAAAUAAUUAUAUGUUUUUUUAUAAAUAAAAAUAUUUUUAGUGACAUAAAUCGAAAGGAAUAAUAAAAAAAUUUUUUUGGACUUUUUCUGAAUUUUUGUCAAUUUAAAUAAUAUUUUAUGAAUAUUUAAAUAAAUAAAAAUAAAGAAAUGCCCAAAAAUAUUUUGUCACCAAUAUUUUUUUUUUAAAUUGGACCUUAUUAGAAUUUUGGCUAGUGAAAAAAUUCCUCAAAAAAUAUACAUUUUUUUAAUUUUUCCUUUUUUAUUUAUUUAUUUUUCUUUUAAAUUGUGGCUAGAAGAGGGCUGAGCCUGGUUUAAGCUAGAGCUGUCAGAAUGCUACAGGAAAUUUUGAGACCUUUGCGAAUUUGCUGGGCUUUGUUUGCUGACCUGCCAAAUGAGGAUAACUGACCUUAUAUUUGCAUAAAAUAAACCAGAAAAUAUCUGUGAUAGAAUAGCCUGUCCUAUCUUAUUUGCCCAUUGGCUUGUAUUUCUGGUUUAGCAGUUGUUUCCCUGUCCAUGUGUUUAAAAUGCUACUUUCAUGUUCUUUUUCAGACGUGUGACUUUUCCCCUUGUCUUUCUUUCACAAAGGAAAUCAUUAUGCCAUUUACUUCCCAAGGGAUUAGGUUAAGUAACCUUGUUAAACUUUGUUUGGAAAGAUUGCUAUCUCUGAUUAGAGGGGAAAAUUGAUUCUUUUAUUUUGUUCAUUCAGGGUUGAACCAAGGUGUAACUGGUCUUCCAUUAAAGGGUUGGCCAUUAACUGGAAUU
rnacentral:misc_RNA from 1 species